AUUGAACGCUGGCGGCAGGCCUAACACAUGCAAGUCGAGCGGAUGAAGAGAGCUUGCUCUCUGAUUUAGCGGCGGACGGGUGAGUAAUGCCUAGGAAUCUGCCUGGUAGUGGGGGAUAACGUUCCGAAAGGAACGCUAAUACCGCAUACGUCCUACGGGAGAAAGCAGGGGACCUUCGGGCCUUGCGCUAUCAGCUGAGCCUAGGUCGGAUUAGCUAGUUGGUGAGGUAAUGGCUCACCAAGGCGACGAUCCGUAACUGGUCUGAGAGGAUGAUCAGUCACACUGGAACUGAGACACGGUCCAGACUCCGACGGGAGGCAGCAGUGGGGAAUAUUCGACAAUGGGCGAAAGCCUGAUCCAGCCAUGCCGCGUGUGUGAAGAAGGUCUUCGGAUUGUAAAGCACUUUAAGUUGGGAGGAAGGGCAGUAAGUUAAUACCUUGCUGUUUUGACGUUACCGACAGAAUAAGCACCGGCUAACUUCGUGCCAGCCGCCGCCGUAACAC
rnacentral:rRNA from 1 species